ACCAAAGUAGUUUAAAACAAAACAUUAAUUUGUGGCAUUAAAGAAACCAGUUAAAUCCCGGUCUGUGGUC
rnacentral:tRNA from 1 species